GACGAACGCUGGCGGCGUGCUUUAGACAUGCAAGUCGAACGAGAUCUUCGGAUCUAGUGGCGAACGGCGGAGUAAUACAUAAACAACGUGCCCUGAAGACUGGGAUAUACGGUCGAAAGGCCGAGCAAUACCGGAUGUGGCCGAGACUAGGCAUCUAGACUCGAUUAAAUGGUUUUUCGCUUCAGGAGCGGUUUAUGACUCAUCAGCUAGUUGGUAGGGUAAUGGCCUACCAAGGCUACGACGGGUAGGGGGUCUGAGAGGAUGAUCCCCCCGAGUGGGACUGAGACACGGCCCACACACCUACGGGUGGCAGCAGUUUGGAAUCUUGCCCAAUGGGGGAAACCCAGAGGCAGCGACGCCGCGUGGAGGAUGGAAGGAUUUUAGGGUCUGGUAAACUCCUUUUGCCAGGAAAGACUUAGGACGGUACCUGGCGAAUAAGCUCCGGCUAACUACGUGCCAGCAGCCCG
rnacentral:rRNA from 1 species